CGGUUGAUCCUGCCGGAGGUUACUGCUAUCGGGGUUCGAUUAAGCCAUGCAAGUUAAAUGUUUUUCGUAAACAUAGCGAACUGCUCAGUAACACGUGGAUAACUUAACCUUAGGUCCGGCAUAACCCCGGGAAACUGGGGAUAAUUCUGGAUAUAUCAAGGAUGCUGGAAUGCCCUUUGGUUCAAAGCUUUUGUGCCUAAGGAUAGGUCUGCGGUCUAUCAGGUUGUAGUGGGUGUAACGUACCUACUAGCCGACGACGGAUACGGGUUGUGAGAGCAAGAGCCCGGAGAUGGAUUCUGAGACAAGAAUCCAGGCCCUACGGGGUGCAGCAGGCGCGAACACUUUACAAUGCGGGAAACCGCGAUAAGGGAACCCCGAGUGCCAGUACUAAGUGCUGGCUGUCUAGAUGAAUAGAUAUCAUUUAAUAGCAAGGGCCGGGCAAGACCGGUGCCAGCCGCCGCGGUAACACCGGCGGCCCGAGUGGUAACCGAUAUUAUUGGGUCUAAAGGGUCCGUAGCCUGUUUAAUAAGUCCUUUGGGAAAUCUGGCAGCUUAACUGUCAGGCUGCUAAAGGAUACUGUUAAACUUGGGACCGGUAGACGUAGGGGGUACUCCAGGGGUAGGAGUGAAAUCUUGUAAUCCCUGGGGGACCAUCUGUGGCGAAGGCGCCCUACGAGAACGGGUCCGACGGUGAGGGACGAAAGCUAGGGGAGCAAACCGGAUUAGAUACCCGGGUAGUCCUAGCUGUAAACGAUGCUCGCUAGGUGUC
rnacentral:rRNA from 1 species